rnacentral:tRNA from 1 species
GCUUUUUUAGUUUAAAGUAGAACGCUGGUCUUGUAAAUCAGUAGUGAAAUUGUUUUCAUAAAGCA